CGCCCCUCAAUUUGCCCCAGGAGGGGAGAGUAUUCCUCUGGGACAAGAAUAAUAGCAAUAAUGGUGGCAAUCAAUCAGAGAAUUUCCGGCACUGAACAAGGAGCGAGCCGUCGAUACAUACAUAACUUAGCCUCAACUGAACUUGGGGAUGCUGAACGCUACAAAGGAAAAGCUUGUUUAUAAUCCCCCUUGGUGACGGUGGGUGAACGAGGGUUAACUGGAAUCAGUAUUUCAGUGUCCAAAUGCAGUUUGAGGCCCGAAAAUACGAAGAGACACCUUCCAUCUUCUGGGGUUUGGAUCCUGUAUUCUUAGCAUUUGCAAAAUUGUACAUAAGAGACAUCCUGAAGAUAAAAGAGUCCGAGCAAGUGCCAGGCGUAUUUUUAUAUAAUGGACAUCCAAUUAAACAGGUGGACAUUUUAGGAACUGUAAUUGGAAUGAAAGAACGAGAAGCCUUUUUUAUCUAUGGAGUGGAUGACAGCACAGGGGUUAUAAACUGUAUCUGCUGGAAAAACGAAAGAGAUUCUAAAACCUCUCCAGCUGGGACCCAACCUUGUACUGCUAGGGGUCUGAACGUAACUACACAACUUAAGAAGCUGCAAGAAGUCGUGCGUCAGAAAACCACACUGGAAAUUGGAGAUGUUAUCCGAAUUAGAGGGCAAAUCCGCGUCUACCGAGAUCAACGAGAGAUUCAGGCCUCCACGUAUUACAAAGUGAACGAUCCAGUGUGGGAUGUUCAGAUCGCAAGAAUGCUAGAGCUUCCAAACAUCUACAGAAAAAUGUACGACCAGCCUUUCCAGAUUCCAGGGCUAAUGAAUGAGAAGGCACUGAGCAAUCCAAGUGCCUUGGACCUUCCUAGCCUGACUGUUCUGCUGAGUGAAAAAGUGAACGAGUUCCUUAUGGAGCACAAAGUGCUGACCUUUUACCCACGAGAGCUGGAAACCGUGGACACUUUGCUCUCCCUUGCUAAUCAGCCUGUUAUUCGUGGGAUCUGCCCGGAACAGGUGGAUUCUACAAAGGGCUCCAUUUCCAAAUCACUCCACAGCAUAUUUAAAGAAGCCAUACAGCUGCUGCUGGAAAGAGGAAUAGUUUUCCAGAAAUCAGACAGCCUGGAUGACCUGUACUAUGUAACAGAGCAAGAUAAGGAAUUACAGAAAAAGAUCCUUAGCAUCAUUCAAGGAGAUUGCCAGAAGCCAAAACAUGCUGAAAGAGGCUGCCAUUUCCUUCACAUCUUAGCUUGUGUUCGCCAGAACUACAACCCACAUCUGAGCGAAGCUACGGUACAUCAAGUCCUGGACCUCUUGGAGAACAGGAGUGAUGUCGUCAGCACUAUGGAAGGAUACUACACUGUUUUCUAAGGAGGAUGGAUGAAGAAGCAAUGUAUCCUUGUAAAUCCACCGACUGCCUUAAGAAGAAAGAAGAAUGAAACCAUGUCACGUGACUUACCCGAGCAGAAAUGGAAGCAGAACUGUUAUAGCAACUGACCUUCUGAUCGUUCCUUUUACACAUCAACUACGGACCAAGAGGAUUGAAGGAAACUAACAAGUUGGUGACUCAGUGCAUGGUUCUCAGCAGGUGUCCCCCUGGCCUACCAAAUUCAAAUAAGUACCAGAUUCAUUUUGAUCAAUGAGGUUGGAAUCAUUAAUUAACCAGUGGUACGCUUGAAGUACUUACUGCAUGCAAAGCAAUGGCUUGAAAGGCAUUCAGCCAGCUGUUCCCCUCCCACCUUACCUCGCUGAUUUCCAUCACACAAUCCUGCCUGCACACCUGACUCCUCUAGCACCCGCUUAUUCACUGUACCUCAGUCUUGUCUAUCUUGCUGCUGACCUCCUGGUCGUAUCCUCCCUCUGGCCUUAUAGCUCACUUCCCAUUCAUACAUGACAGGCAACCACUGUCCCCACGUUCAAGGCCUGACUAAAAUCACAUCUCCUUCUAGAGGCCUAGAGAUCUAGAGAUCUACCACACUUGGAUCUGUAAUUUUGCAGGACUUGCCAGUCA